rnacentral:siRNA from 1 species
CUGUAUUUUCAGGUUUUCCGA